rnacentral:rRNA from 1 species
UACGUAGGGUCCGAGCGUUGUCCGGAAUUAUUGGGCGUAAAGAGCUCGUAGGCGGCCUGUCGCGUCGGCUGUGAAAACCUGGGGCUCAACUCCAGGCCUGCAAUCGAUACGGGCAGGCUAGAGUUCGGUAGGGGAGACUGGAAUUCCUGGUGUAGCGGUGAAAUGCGCAGAUAUCAGGAGGAACACCGGUGGCGAAGGCGGGUCUCUGGGCCGAAACUGACGCUGAGGAGCGAAAGCGUGGGGAGCGAACAGG